CACGUAGGGCGCGAGCGUUGUCCGGAAUUAUUGGGCGUAAAGAGCUCGUAGGCGGUGUGUCACGUCGGCCGUGAAAACCCGCAGCUCAACUGCGGGCUUGCGGUCGAUACGGGCAGGCUGGAGUUCGGUAGGGGAGACUGGAAUUCCUGGUGUAGCGGUGAAAUGCGCAGAUAUCAGGAGGAACACCAAUUGCGAAGGCAGCUCGCUGGGACGUUACUGACGCUGAGACGCGAAAGCGUGGGGAGCAAACAGG
rnacentral:rRNA from 1 species